GACGAACGCUGGCGGCGGGCUUAACACAUGCAAGUCGAACGGAAAGGCCCUGCUUUUGUGGGGUGCUCGAGGGGCGAACGGGUGAGUAACACGUGAGUAACCUGCCCUUGACUUUGGGAUAACUUCAGGAAACGGGGGCUAAUACCGGAUAGGAGCUCCUGCUGCAGGGAGGGGGUGGGAAAGUUUCGGCGGGUGGGGAUGGACUCGCGGCUGAUCAGCUUGUUGGUGGGGUAGUGGCUUACCAAGGCUUUGACGGGUAGGCGGCCUGGGAGGGUGACCGGCCACAUUGGGCCUGCGAUACGGCCCAGACUCCUACGGGAGGCAGCAGUGGGGAAUCUUGUCCAAUGGGCGGACGCCUGAUGCAGAAACGCCGCGUGCGGGAUGACGGCCUUCGGGUUGUAAACCGCUUUCGCCUGUGACGACGCGUGAGUGACGGUAAUGGGUAAAGAAGCACCGGCUAACUACGUG
rnacentral:rRNA from 1 species